rnacentral:lncRNA from 1 species
GCAACACUUGCUCACAAUCAGUGUUCACUGAAUGAAUGAAUGACCUGAUACCCUGUGUACAGCCUUGUCCUCUCUAACUCUUCCUCCAGGAGCUGCGGGGGGAUCUGGUGUCAGCAUCACUUUAACCCACCUGUCACUUCCUCCUGUGAACCCGAUCCUGGAGUGUUAAGCACUUAGUGUGACCACAAGGCCCUCUGGGCACAGACACCUGCCUCAGUCUGACUCCCUUUGCCACAACUUCUGCCUGCCUUGUCCCACUUCUGCUGCAGUGGGGUGCUGGCAACUCCCAGCGCUGAUGUCUUGACACAGCCAUUUCGUUCCUGGAAUGCCCCACCCUGAAGAUCUGAGAAAUACCUGCUCCACUCUCAAGCCUCACUUUAGCCAGCACCUCCUCUGGGACACCCUCCCUGAAGACCUUGUACAAGGAACAAGUUCACACAAACAGGACAUGGCUAGCCUGCUGCCAGGCAUCCUAGCUGGUCCUGGGAACUGAGCUGUAUGUUUUGAAGACAUGCUAGAAGAAGAGGAAGAGGAAGAGGAAGAAGAAGGAGGAGGAGGAAGAAGAGGAGGAGGAGGAGGAAAAGAAGGAGGAAAUAAAAAGGGGUAAGUUGCAUUUCUCCUGACAUGCCCAGA